UACGGAGGGUGCAAGCGUUGCUCGGAAUUAUUGGGCGUAAAGGGCAGGUAGGUGGUCUCGUUUGUCUGAGGUGAAAGCCUUGAGCUUAACUCAAGAAGUGCCUUAGAAACGGCGAGACUAGAGUCUUGGAGAGGGUCGUGGAAUUCCCGGUGUAGCGGUGAAAUGCGUAGAGAUCGGGAGGAACACCAGCGGCGAAGGCGGCGACCUGGACAAGUACUGACACUCAACUGCGAAAGCGUGGGGAGCAAACAGG
rnacentral:misc_RNA from 1 species